rnacentral:rRNA from 1 species
UACGGAGGGGGCUAGCGUUGUUCGGAAUUACUGGGCGUAAAGCGCACGUAGGCGGCUUUGUAAGUUAGAGGUGAAAGCCCGGGGCUCAACUCCGGAAUGGCCUUUAAGACUGCAUCGCUAGAAUUGUGGAGAGGUAAGUGGAAUUCCGAGUGUAGAGGUGAAAUUCGUAGAUAUUCGGAAGAACACCAGUGGCGAAGGCGACUUACUGGACACAUAUUGACGCUGAGGUGCGAAAGCGUGGGGAGCAAACAGGG